ACGGCGGUUCCCCUCCAUGCUCGAGUCUCCUGCUUGUAGUCCAUGUGAUGUUCUGCUCUUGUCAGGACCGUGUUACAGCAAGACAAAAGUCACAACUCAUCCAGAUAGUUGAAGACACUUAAGGUAAGAUCAACUAAGUUCCGAUUAUAAAUGUACUUAGUGUUAGCUUUAUAUUGUAGACUUCAGGAAGAAAGUAUGUCCGGGGGCGGGGCUAGGGGGAAACAGAUCCCCAAACAGAGUUGGACACAACACCGGCAUUACUUUUGAAAACUGCCACAGCAGAAGAAAAUCCUCACAACUGUAACGUUAGCAGAAGAGACUGAACAAGCUUUGUCUAAAUAACUAAGCGCUAGUCAACUAACGCGUCGAGCUAGCAUUAGGGCUAAUGUUAGCUAGCUACAAAUGUCGGUGCCAGGUUAGCUAGCUAGCACGUUAGCCGUCCUACAUGACGGUCAUGUUAAAGCAAGCAGAAACGAGCUAACGGCACCGUUACAGUUGGGAAUAUUUUCUUCUGCUAUGGCAGUUUUCUAAAGUAAUGCCCGGUUAGCUCCUAACGCUAACUCUGACUGAAACCAGCGUUUAGCUAACGGUAGCUAGUUACCAUGAUGGGACAAAGCUAACUGUUGGAUAGAUGUUUUAAUUUUGUCCUCUUUUGGUUAAAAAGCUGGUAAAAGUAGGCACGAGCAGUGUGUCGCAGCAGGAUACAAUACUGUUGGUAGUUUAGAAGGUGGGAUGUACAAGGGAUACAAACAUCGAUAUUUUUUAUACUAAUAUGUGGACAUGACACAUGCGGUUAUAAUGAGGGGGUCGACAGGGACCAGUGCCCCAGUAACACAAACCCCCAGUUACUCUUAUGCUGAUCCCAUGAGGUAAAUUUUGUUUGUACAGCUUAGUCAGUAACAUGAAAGGAUAUGCAACUAAGUCACAAAUCAAAGUAAUUCAAAGUCUACACGGUUCCCUUAGAGCCGUACACUGCUACCGAGGAAUUGAAGUGCCACUGCUUUAAAGCGGGAGUAAAAAACAUUGAAUGCUGGUCAGAUUGAGCUGAUGGCAGACUGUACAUUUUGUCUUGGUUUCAUUAUAUAGCUGGCAAAUGUAAACGCAAGGACUACUGUGACACAAAUUAGCUCGUAAGUAAGCUCACAAAGAUAUUAAGUAAAUGUUCUGGGUGAAAUGAUGUGCAUUUUGUUCAAGUGAACAGGAAGGGGACAUUGUCCUUUUCACCCUCAAAAUAAAAAGAAUGAUGAGGCAGUGCUUGAUCCAAGAAAGAUGUCAAGAAAGAAGCAUCAGAAAAGGAAGAGAAACAGCAAGAGAACAUGGAGGGAAAGCCAGAAGAUUUGUUAGUGGAAGGUUAUAAAAGUAAGGGCACAGAACAGGAAGUAAAGUCAGAAGCACCUGACAGUGAGGCUGAAGAGGACACAGGUGAGGAGGAGGACAUCCACAAGCAGUAGACCAUCAGAUAUCAGCAAAUGUAGAGACUCACCAAUUCAGAAUCUGAAGUUUUCAAGGACCUUGAUGAAGGACAGACGAAGAAUCUUUAUGGCGGUCUGGACCACAGCAGGAUCAUGAAGAUCAGUAAAGUGAUGAACAAAAAUCCCAAACCCAUAACCAGCCCUACUGUUACAACAUUGGAUCCACUACUGGAACUAGACCCUGAGAAUGAAGAGAGAAAAAGAACAGAAUUUUAGCAAUUAAACAUAGAAAAUCCAUUAUUAAAAAGAGAAUCAAAUAAAAAUAAAAUCUCAUAAGGUUUCUCACGUCCAACUGAGAGCCAGCUUUUGGGUGACUCUCCUCUCUCUGGGUGUUUACAGUGGUAGAAACCUUCAUCUGAAUUUGAGACAGUUUGGAUGAUCAUCUCUCCUGUAGUCUGGUUCUGGAGAACUGAUCCAUCUUUAUAGAAAUCAGCUCGGAGGUUUGAGGGAUUUGGGUUGUGAUAUAAACAGCGUAGAGUCAGAGGAUGUCCCUCAGUCACAGGAUGGACAGGACUCUCCAGGAUCACAUCACCAUCUAGAACACAGAAAAUCACAAACAAGGAAAUCCACACACUAUGAUGUGUCUGUAGAUAAUAAAUAAAAGUUCUAAUUUAUCUUUGUAUACCUUAAAACCCUGUAAACCUGUGGCUGACUUUGCCGAAAACUGCCUAACGUAGCUCAUGAAAAAACAUUCAAUUGAAUUAUGAAUGCAUCAGUACAGAUAUACAUGAAUCAAAUACUUGAUUCAUACAUCAAAUAUUGAUUCAAAUCAACACUCUUUUAUUCACUAAAUUAGUAUCUACUACUAACACACUGUGAUGACUCGUUAGAGGCAGGUUGGAUAGAAUCUAUUUGCAGAUUUAUUGAAGAAGACAGAAAGCACAAAGUGUAAACCUUUAGCAGUGCAGUAGAUGAAAACCGGAAAACCAAUAACACUAGCAACAAAACCAAAACGCGUAAAUGUGGGGAUAAACAGACAAAAGUCCAUACAGAAUAGUCCAUACAAGAAAGAGAAUAAUCCAAGGCUUGGUACGUCACACGGGAACGUUACUUCGCAAAGAAUGCAGGUUAGCAUGUUGCUUAUAUCCUAACGUGCUACCCGGAAGUGAGGGCUCCCUCUGGUGGGCCGGAUGAAGUUGUGACAUUACACACACAUGUAUUCAUACUUGUCUUUAACAUAAAACACACUACAUGAAGACUCACCAUGCACUGUGAUGUUGACAGGAUUACUGUUUUCUCCAGAUUCAGACUCACACCAGUAAACUCCAGUGUAGGAUGUGGAGAGGAAGCUGAUGUUACAUGUAGAUCCUGUAACUGAUCCCCAGUGUGAACAAUCUAACACUCUCUCACUGUGUGUGUAUCGUCUCACUGUCCAUCCAGUAGAGUUACUCUGGUCCUCACAGCUCAGUGAGAGAGAGUCAUUAGUAAAGUGUUGAGUUCUGCUGGGAUUGAUGAUCAGAGAGACUGGAGGUGAUCCACCUUAAACACAGAAAAGAGACAUGUAAAUAACAAACUAAGGAGGAAAUAUGCAAUAUAAUGAGGCAGAACAUAAGGAAAUUGCUGUAAAUUAAUUUUUUUCAUUUUUCUGUAUGUUGCCAAGAAAAAUUAUCCAAUGACAUGGGGUGGAGAAAUCACAAAAUACAGGGGAACACAAGUGAAAUCAUGACAUUAAUCCUCUACCAGCAUUUAGGACUUUUUAACUGCCUUAUACAUAUUAAUUGCAUCAAUCUGAUCUUACAUUCACACUUUUCUAUUCUACACUUCAACACAACAGUUAAUUUUCCUCACCAGUGAUCCAUAGUGGCUGUGGAUUGCUGUACUGUGAGUGAAGGGCUGGUUCUCCUCUCUCUCCUCUGCACAUAUAAACUCCUGUGUGAUUAAGAGCAGCAGGACUGAGAGUGUAUUUGCCUCCCGAUCCUCUGCUGCUGUCUGAGAGGAGCUCCACAUACACGCUAUAGCCACCAUUAUUAUUUAUUCGAUUUAAGCCAUCUCUGUAGGGAACAACUGUGUACCAGCUGAAUGUCCAAUCUAUAGAGGAGUCUGUAACCUCACAGCUUAGAGUCACUGAGUCUCCUUCAGUCAGCCAGCUCUGUGGAGAUACACUCAGUACUGCCUGUGGUCUCUCUGUAACUCAGGAAAUACAAGGUGACUUUUUCUAGAUUUAUAUAUACAAAGUAAGAAGCUUUUCAUGAAUGUCUAAUUGCACAUUUUCAUGUGUUUUUAGAAAUCCUCACAGACUCACCUGAUACAGUCAGUGUAACAGCAUCACUGGAGUGUGAGGAGCGUGAACCUCCUCUCUCUGCUCCUCUACAGGUGUAUUUACCUGUGUGGGUCACUUCAACACCACUGAUUCUGUACACCUGUCCACUACUGACAGGACUGUGUGAAGCAUCUUUAUACCAGCUGUACUGCCAGAUAGAGACACUUUCAUCCUGUAUGUCACAUCUCAGAAUGACGGUGUCUCCAUGGAACACCUGAUUAUCAGGAUUUAUGGAUGCCAUUGGUUUAGGUCUUGCUGUAGAAAAAUAAUAGAGCAUAUAAAUUAUCAAGAUACAUGUGUUUAUUACAGUCUGCCUUAAAAAAAGCAUUUGUAAGGAUGUUUGUGACCAAAUCGAUUUCUUCUCCUCUGUCAGCCAUUGAUAAAAUAUAUUUAUUUUAUUUAGUUUGUUCGGUUCCAAAGGACGGGAAAUUGUUGACGUAAUUGUAUGCCUGCUAGAUGGCCCCAGUGAUGCCAACUCGAAAUCUGAUUGGUUAAUGUAACAAUUUCUUUGCCACUUAUUUUAAGCUACGGGCGCCUGCACUAUUGAUUCUGAAGGCCUUAAGGAAGAUUUCUUUCACCCUGGCAACACAUGAUGUCAGCUACUGGCUGAAAUAUGAUUGGAUAAAUAAUCUUAUCAUAAAUAUACACUACUGGAAGCAGCACAACCAAGAAAAAAGCUAUGAAAUGUAGAGAAUAGACUAUUGGGAAUAAUUUAAUACACUUUCAUGGAAAAAUAUAUUAAAUUUUUUAAAAUCCAAGUCAGUGAUUUAGAUCACUGCUGUUUAGACCAGCAGAGAAGGCCUUGCUGGACCUGACAGUCCACCACUGAUAUUUACUGUUGUGGAAUCUCUGCAAAACAAGUUAGUUCUUAUUUUGUCACUUUAUAGGGCUAGAAACAAAUGCAAGUGUAGAAGUCCAUUUACUUAUAUUCAAUUCAAUUCAAUUUAUUUUGUAUAGUGCCUUUUACAGUAAACAUUGUCUCAAAGCAGCUUUACAAAAGAAGAAAACAGAGAAAGGGGAGGGGAAAAUGAAAAAUAAUAAUAAAAAAUAAAAAAUAACUAAUUAACUAGAAAUAAGAAUAAAUUAUUAAAUUCUAUAAUUAGACUAUUUUAUCCUAUUUUUGCCGCACUGAAAACUGGCAAACACUGGGAGCUCAGGAGUGGGGUGUAUAGCUCGACAGAGAAGGUAGAGAGAGAAAGAGAAAGAUUUCUGAUCAUGUGAUGCUUAAAGAAAAUGUAGAAUUAUGUGUAAAGUGCAGGCAGGGACUCUGGCAAGACUAGCUAUGACAGCAUAACUAAAAGGGAGAGCCCGAAGGUCACAGACAUGAAGGCUUCCCGGGACCUAAAGCAUCCAACCACUUCACAGUCAGCAAACCUGAGCGACUUGCGAGGGUGGUAAGAUGACAGCAUCCAACACAUCCCAGUACACCAAACACUCUAUGACCAUGAACCUUCCAGGUGUGCUCCUUUACCUAAGAAAACUAUACAUUAAAAGCUUGACUAAACAAAUGUGUCUUCAGCCUAGACUUAAACAUUGAGACUGUGUCUGAAUCCCAAACACUAAUUGGAAAGCUGUUCCAUAACUUUGGGGCUUUGAAAGAGAAAGCCUCCUGCCCCCUGCUGUAGCCUUUGCUACUUGAGGUACUACCAAGUAACCAGCACCCUUUGAUUGGAGUAGGCGUGGCGGAUCAUAAAAGACUAAAAGAUCGCUAAGGUACUGCGGCGUGAGACCAUUUAGUGCUUUAUAGGUUAGUAAAAGUAUUUUAUAAUCAAUGCGAAAUUUGACUGGGAGCCAAUUUAGUGUGGCUAAAAUAGGAGUGAUGUGCUCAUAUCUUCUAGUUCUAGUUAGGACUCUAGCUGCUGCAUUCUGGACUAACUGGAGCUUGUGUAUGCUCCUACUGGAACAUCCAGACAGUAAGGCAUUACAAUAAUCCAACCUAGAGGUAACAAAAGCAUGAACUAAUUUUUCUGCAUCAUGAAGCGACAACAUAUUUUUCUUAGCAAUAUUCCUAAGAUGGAAGAAGGCUACCCGAGUGAUAUUAUCUGCAUGAGCUUCGAAUGAAAGACCAGAAUCAAUAAUCACACCAAGAUCUUUUACUGCUGGACAAGAUGAAACCAAAAGACCAUCCACCGUUACUCUGUAAUCAGAAAGCUCACUUCUAACUGCCUGUGGUCCUAGUACAAGCACUUCUGUCUUGUCCGAAUUAAGCAGGAGGAAGUUAGUGGCCAUCCAAUGUCUAAUGUCCUUUACACAUUCUUCUAUCUUAAGAAGCUGGUGUCUCUCAUCUGAUUUAGCUGAAACAUAUAGCUGUGUGUCAUCCGCAUAACAGUGGAAGCUAAUACCAUGUUUACGAAUAAUUGCACCAAGGGGUAACAUAUAUAGGGAGAAAAGCAGUGGGCCUAAGACAGAACCUUGUGGAACACUGAACAUAACCUUGGUAUGCAUGGAGAAGUCACCAUCUAGAUCUACAAACUGAUAACGGUCAGUCAAAUAAGACCUGAGCCAGGAGAGGGCUGUUCCUUUAACACCAACAACAUGUUCUAGUCUAUCAAGUAGAACAGUGUCGUCAAUGGUGUCAAAAGCUGCACUAAGAUCGAGUAACACCAGUAGGGAGACACAACCCUGAUCAGAAGCCAGUAACAGGUCAUUUACCACUUUAACCAGUGCUGUCUCUGUGCUAUGAUGAGGCCUAAAUCCUGACUGAUACAUUUCAUAAAUGUUAUUUCUAUACAUGUAUGAACAUAACUGCUGUGCUACAGCCUUUUCUAGGAUCUUGGAGAUAAAGGGCAGGUUUGAUAUCGGUCUAUAGUUAGACAGCUGACAGGAGUCGAGGUCCGUUUUUUUAAUCAAGGGUUUGAUAACUGCUAGCUUAAAAGAUUUAGGCACAUAGCCAGUGCUUAGUGAAGAAUUAAUUAUUUUUAGAAGGGGUUCAGUAGCUACUGGUAAUAUCUGUUUAAGGAAAGAUGUGGGUAAAGGAUCUAGGAUGCAGGUAGAAGAUUUUGAAGAAGAAAUUAGUGAAAUUAGAUCAGGCUCUUGAAGUGGAGUGAAGCACUCUAAGCUCUGAUCAGAAAUAGCUAUAUUAUCUAAAGGAUUAUCUAUCAAAUAAUAUGGUUUUAAAUUACUAGUCUGAAUUUUUUGCCUGAUAUUGUCAAUUUGGAUUGUCUUUGUUAUCUUCGAUUAGGGCAGAGAGAUAUGCUGAUCUAGCAGCACUAAGAGAAUUUUUGUAUCUCAGAAGGCUUUCCUUCCACGCAAUCUGGAAUACUGCUAAUUUAGUUUGACACCAUUUACACUCUAGUUUCCUAGCUGAUUGUUUUAAAGCUCGUGUGUGGUCGUUGUACCAGGGUGCUAGUUUCUUGUCUUUAAUUUUUUUCCCUUUAAGUGGAGCUACAGUGUCUAGGGUGUUCCAAAAUAAUGACUCCAAGUAAUCAGUCACCUGGUCAAGUUCUGUAGGGUCAGAAGUUGAACCAAUCAUGUGUGAUAAUUCUGGGAGACUAUCGGUAAAUCUCUCUGCAGUAGCAGACGUAAAUAUACGCUUCACACGGUAACGUGGCAAGUUGCGCAUCUCGUGACUAAGACGCAUUCUAAAUGAAUCUAGAUAAUGAUCUGAGUUGGCUUACGACUGUGGAAGAGUGACUAUGUUUUCUAUAUUUAAUCCGAAUGUAAAAAUGAGAUCCAGAGUGUGACCUCCAUUAUGAGUGGGUCCUAUUACAUUUUGAUUAACACCUAAUGAAUCUAAGAUGGAUACAACUGCUGUUCUCAGAGGGUCUUCCGGCUUACUGCGACACCUCCUCCCCUGCCUGUUAGACGCGGUUGAUGUAUAUAGCUAUAGCCAGGCGGACAAGCUUCAUUUAAUGCUACAUACUCGUUUUGUUUAAUCCAUGUUUCUGUUAAACAAAGAAUGCUGAACUCCUGAUCAGUAAUCAGUUCAUUAAUUAUAAGUGUUUUAGUUGACAGAGAUCUUAUAUUUAACAGUCCUAGCUUCAGAUCAAAGGUGCUGGCUGUGCAUUCACUAUCAUCUAGUUUUAUGUUAAUCAGGUUACUAAAACAAAUUUUCUGAUUGUUAAAACAUUUUCGUUUGGUUCGGGGAAUAGACACAGUCACAAUGUUAUGAACCCUGAGUGACGACUCAUUGCAGCCAGCAGACAGUCGGAUUAGCCUGCUUGUCUGCUCCCUGGCCCUGGCCCUGGCCCUGGCUUGUCACCGAUUAACUAGAUCUGCUCUAAGACUAUGUGCUAUGCUGCAAGAAAUGAGAGCAGCACCCUCCUGAGUGGGAUGGACACCGUCCCGUCCUAAAAGGCCAGCCUUGCCCUCAAAAGAGCUCCAAUUGUCUAUGAAGCCCACAUUGUUUUCGGAGCACCACCUGGACAUCCAGCAGUUCAGCGACCAUAACCUGCUGUAAGCUACAUCGCCACGCCGCAUUAGGAUUAAAGAAACUAUAAAACUGGGUUAGGGUUGCAGCUCACAGCUCAGUGAUGGUGUCUCCAGUGUAGACGGAGCUCUCAGGAUUCACUCUCACAGUCAGUUUGGGUUUUGCUGUUGGUAUGAAAUGAUUAAGGUAUCAGAGCUGCUUUUCACUUUUCAACAUAAGCAGUAGAUUCACUAGCCUAGCAGUAGAUUUACGAGUCUAACAGAUGUUUUUGGUCUAAAAUAAACAUAUAUAUUUAACAUUUUAUACAAGAUGUUGCAAUGGUAUGUUUUCUUAUACGGCUGGUAUUCUGCAUAUUUUCUAUGUAACAAAAUUCAUGAUUGGAUUGAAGUGUAGAAACACAGUAUUUUCUGAUUUUAGAUUGUUAUUUAUGGAUCCUACACCACCAUUUUAACAUAUCUUAAUUUUCUUAAAAAUGAGCAAAACCUAAAGUUCAUACAUUAAAGCCAUGACAGGUAUUUUUCCAAAAAUCUAGACAUUCUGUAGUUGAACAUUAUCAUCUAGCUGAGAAACAUUAAUCAUCAUUUUCAAUUCAGUCCAACAAACAAAAUAGGAUCAGUCUAGCUUUUUAGUAAAGACUAAAUGGUGAGGAAGGAAGCCUUGCCUACGUUUUUACACUUCCGGUUUUCACUUAUGGGUUCUAGAAUAUUUAACAUGCUCACACAGGCAGCUACACGCAAAGUAUUGUCAGUCUUUCUGCUGCAUACCAAGCUUUGUAUAUUGUCUGUUUAUUAUGUUUAUGACCUGUUUUCUGUUGUUGAAUUUUCACUUUUGUCUUUCUUCUGUUGGAUUUGUUUAUACUGUGGACUGCUUAUUCUGGCCUUUGCCUGACGUUUUGAAUUUUAUUGCCUGUUUGUUAAAUUGUGUUUGCUCGCACAUGGAUCCUACUCUGUCUUCCUUACAGGAUACUUUUUGGAUCCCGCAGACAUGACACUACAAGCCAUGGCGGUGAAACUACACCAUGAACUACAAGCCAUGGUGGUUCAACAAGGCCAGGCUCUGGUGGUCAAGCAGGACAUUGUGUUACAUGCCCAGAGAAAUGGGAUACCCAACCUGACCAGGUGAGCUUGUUCUCAUACCCGUUUUGUGUACAGUAACUUAUAUAGUGAAAAGAAACUAUAAAACUGUGACACAGAAACAAAGCAAAAACAAACACUAGGUCAGGGCUGUGGCAGAAUAAACACACAGGGGUAAGAGCUGCAAGACAAAGAUGUGGUGAAACAAAGGGGUGAGGGAGAUGGACUUUCCCCUGGUGAGGGCCAGAUGGAGGGUUAUGGUGAUGGCAUCAUCCCUAGAGCAGUUUGAACGAUACACGAACUGCAAGGGGUUGAGUAAGGUUGGUAGCUGGGUCUUGAUGUGCCUUAUGAUGAGCCUUUCGAAGCACUUCAUCACAAUGGGUGUGAGUGUGAUAGGAUGAUAGCCAUUGAGGAAGGAAACUGUUGACUUCUUCAGCACAGGGACAAAGGUUGCUGUCUUGAGGCACAUAGGAACAACAGUGCUCAGCACUCUUCCAGGAAAGUUGUCUGGUCCAGCAGACUUCCAUAGGUUAACUUUGCACAGAGUUCUCUUCAUGUCAGCCAUAGAUAGGCAGAGUACCCGAUUGUUGGGAGGAGGGAUGGUCUUCCUCGCCUUUACAUUGUUCUGUACCCCGAGUGUAGAAGUCAUUCAGUGCAUCUUGGAGAGAGGCAUAGGUGUCACAGGCUGGUGAUGUUAUCUUUUAGUUUGUGAUCACUUGGGUGCCCUGCCACAUGCAUCUGUGGCUUUGGAUUUUUUGGGCAUGUGCACGGUUCACCUAUUUAAUGGCUCUGAGCAGUUUGGCCUUUGCUGUUUUUAAGGCCAUCUUGUCCCCUGCUCUGCAGGUGGAGUCUCUAGACAUCAGCAGCACAAGCACCUUUGUGGUCAUCCAUGGCUUCUGGUUGUGACAUGUGAUGACGUCUUGGAGACGGUCAAGUCAUUGAUGCACUUGCUGAUGUAGCUGGUCACUGAUGCUGUGUACUCCUCCAAGUUGAUGGAGUCGCCGUUGGUAGCAGCCUCCCUAAACAUAUGCCAGUCAGAAACACUCCUGAAAAGCAGAGGUGGCUCCUGCUGGCAAGGUUUUCAUCUGUUUCAGAACCAGUUUAGAGCAUCUGACGAGCGGUCUGUAUGCUGGAAUUAACAUAACAGAAAUGUGGUCCGAGUAGCUGAGGUGGGGCAGGGCUCUGCAUGGUAUGUUCCGGGGAUUUGAGUGUAAAUAAGAUAAAGUUUGUUCGCCCCUUUCGUCAUAAAGUACACAUCCAAAUGUGGUGAGCCUGGCUAGCUAAAUGGUGGCAUCUGGAACUCUGUUAUUGAGCCACAUCUCUGUGAAAACAAAGAUGCAGCAGUGUCUAAACUCGCCAUGUGGUUCGCCGGAGUCAGAUGUAUUCCAGUUUCUUGUUUAUAGUACAAUUAUAGUACAGUUUACUAUAACUAUGUAUUUACUAUGUAUUUAAAGUACAGUUUACACAGACAAAUCAAGGGUGAAACAGAAACGAAUAUAAUCCAGACACAUUAGAGCAAAUCUAAUGACAGGACAGGGGUGGAGACAAGAAAUGAAUCAGAAUAAAAUUCCACAUGGCAAUGUAAACAAAAACUCAACAGAAACAUGGUCUGGGGGGGAUGUCCUAAAUAUCUGUGAUCAUUCCCAUUUACAUUAUAAGUCAUUUUCCCACCAGGCUCUCUUUUUACUUAUUCUUUUAAUGAAUAACAGAAUGCAGCUUAAUGAAUAACAUGUUACAGCAAAUUGCAAAACAUAAACUCCUCUGUACUAAAGACUUACAUGUCAGAAAACAUAAAGUUAUAGCUUUACCUAUAUUUUUUAAAAAUUUGUUGAAUAAAAUGUUUUUGAAUAUUUGCACUAGAUCUUAUCAAAAUGGCAAAUACAUUUAAACAUAUGCAUUCCAAUGAUCAAAAAGGGUACUGGUGGCUCAGUGGUAGGUUUCUCGCCUAUCAUGGGGAAGGCCCGGGUUCGAUUCCCAGCCAGUGCCUGACCACAGCCACUAGAUGUAGUGCUGGUCCCAAGCCUGGAUAAAAUGGGAGGGUUGUGUCACUGAAGGGCAUCUGGUGUAAAACCUGUGCCAAGUUGAUGUGCGGACCGGUUGGUCUGCUGUGGCGACCCCUCACACACGUAGGGAGCAGCCGAAAGAUCAACCAAUCAUUCCAAUGAUUAUUGUAAACAUUCUGGCAUGAAAUGAAAUUACAAUAAUUAAGCUAUAUUUUUUCUUACCCCUUCUAACAAACCUGUGAUGAAAAGAAGAAAAAUCAUGACAUACCUCUCACUGUAAUCUUGACAGGAUCACUGAACUCUGUGUAGUAGUAGCCGUUGUAAUAGUAGAUGUGCUGUGUGUAGUAGUUUUUCCUGCGUGCACGACACCGGUACUCUGUUUCUCCUGCAUUAUCAACUAUCACUUUAAGUGUGUUCUCUUGUUCACGGUUCAGGUUCUGUAACUGCUGAUUAUUUUUGAACCAAUGAAACUCCCAUCCAGUCAACUGCUGCAGCUCACAGCUCAGAGUGACGGUGUCUCCAGUGUAGACGGAGCUCUGAGGAUUCACUCUCACAGUUGGUUUGGGUUUUGCUGUUGGUAUGAAAUGAUUAAGGUAUCAGAGCUGCUUUUCACUUUUCAACAUAAGCAGUAGAUUCACUAGCCUAGCAGUAGAUUUACGAGUCUAACAGAUGUUUUUGGUCUAAAAUAAACAUAUAUAUUUAACAUUUUCUUGAAUAUGAGUUCUAGAAUAUUUAACACGCUCACACAAGCAGCUACACGCAAAGUAUUGUCAGUCUUUCUGCUGCAUGCCAAGCUUUGUAUAUUGUCUUUUUUUUGUUUAUGACCUGCUUUCUGUUGUUGAAUUUUCACUUUUGUCUUUCUUCUGUUGGAUUUGUUUAUACCGUGGACUGCUUAUUCUGGCUAUUACAGAUUUUAUGCCAGUAUACUCUACUCUGCCUUUGCCUGACAUUUUGAAUUUUAUUGCCUGUUUGUUAAAUUGUGUUUGCUCGCACAUGGAUCCUACUCCGUCUUCCUUAGAGGAUACUUUGUGGAUCCCGCAGACAUGACACUACAAGCCAUGGUGGUGAAACUACACCAUGAACUACAAGCCAUGGUGGUUCAACAAGGCCAGGCUCUGGUGGUCAAGCAGGACAUUGUGUUUCAUGCCCAGAGAAAUGGGAUACCCAACCUGACCAGUUGAUUCAGGUUCUGCUAUCAACAUCAUCCACUGCUAGCCCACCUACCAGCUCCAGAUCCCCACCAUCAUCAACUGCAUGGUUUCACUAAGGAUCAUGGCGGUGAACAGCCAACCCAUCGGGAGUGGUCUCGUAACUCAUCAAACCAUUCCUAUUACACUACAGGUUGUAAAGAAAUACUGCUAUUUGUCACCUCUUGAAAGAUUAUGUUUAUCAUUAAUCAAACACAUUACAUUGUGACUGCCUCUCAGACAUUGUGACUGCCUCUCAGAUACAAUCUGUGAUGGUUUCAUCAAGAUGGCCCAAGGAGAUAGGUGUGGACCAGAUGAUGGCCCAUACAGGAGAUGGGUGUGGGCCAGACAACACACACAAAGUUUUGUGUAUUGAGGACCCUCCACAGGAGGUCCUUACAGUUCUGUAUUCUUGUAUAAAGAUCUGUCUCACAGACAGAGCUUUGGGUUAAGAUACUUUGAAGACCAACCAGCUAACAUCCCAAGACCCACUACACUGCUACCUUCAAUAAAUUCUUCUUCACAUAAGAACUCUGGUCCAGCAUACUUAUUUUAUGUAUUAGAGAAAUCGAAUACAUUGGCGAGCCACUCAAACUACUGCUUAGCCAAAUACAGCAAAAUCUAACACUCUUCUCCUGCUAACCCAAUUUUCUGGCAUUCCCCUGGCUUCAAAAUCAUGGUCCAUGAUCCAAUGGUCCCCUCACUGCCUACACUGUUGUUUUUGAUGCUUCUUUUACCUGACUUGACAAAACACCUCCAUAGAGAACCCUGAGCUAUCCAGAACACAUCCAUCCCUGAGGAAUAUUACAAUUUCAGGGAGGUUUUUAGAAAGGAAAGAGCUGCACGACUUUCUCCACAUCAGCCAUGGGACUGUAAAAUCAACAUAUUGCCUAAACUUCACUUGCAUCAACUACCAGGGACUUAAUGUAAUCAUGGUACAACAUCCAUACACACUACCACCGGUCCCACCAGCCCUGAAACAGCUCAGAGAAGUUAGAUUUGAGGAGUACAUGUACUCUAAUAUAGAUAUGAGAGGGAGAUGAAUGGAAAACUGCCUUUGUGACAUCGAGAGGUCAUUACGAAUACUUGGUGAUGCCUUAUAAUCUUACUAAUGUGCCCACUGUUUUCCAAUCCUUUGUAAACAAGAUUUUUAAAGACCUCCUGAAUCACUGUGUGACUGUUUACAUCAACGACAUACUUAUAUACUCUAAGGACCAUGAAUCCCAUUUGAGACUUGAGAAUAGGAACUCUGAAUGUUGGUACUAUGACAGGGAAAGGUAGAGAGCUGGCUGAUAUGAUGGAGAGAAGGAAGGUGGAUAUACUGUGUGUACAGGAGACCAGGUGGAAGGGUAGAAAGGCUCAUAGUAUAGGAGCAGGAUUCAAGCUGUUUUAUUAUGGUGUGGAUAGUAAUAGAAAUGGGGUAGGUGUGGUCCUGAAAGAGGAGUUUGUGUGGUAUGUUCUGGAGGUGAAGAGCGUGUCAGACAGGGUGAUGAGUCUGAAGUUAGAGGUUGAAGGGGUGAUGUUGAAUGUUGUUAGUGGUUAUGCCCCACAGGUAGGUUGUGAGUUAGAGGAGAAAGAGAGAUUCUCUAGUAAAUUAAGGAAAGGAACCUUGAAGGGCAGAUGGUAGUGGACUUUGCUAAGAGGAUGGACAUGGCUGUGGUUAACACUUAUUUUCAGAAGAGGGAGGAGCAUAGAGUAAGCACACAGGUAGACUACAUCCUAUGUAGAAGAGGCAAUCUGAAAGAGAUUAGUGACUGUAAAGUGGUAGUGGGAGAGAGUGUAGCCAGACAGCAUAGGAUGGUUGUGUGUAGGAUGAAUUUGAUGGUCUGUAAG